rnacentral:rRNA from 1 species
UCGAGCGGGCCGCAAGGCCAGUGGCGGAAGGGUGAGUAAGGCGAAGGUAACCAACCCCGCGGGUGGGCAUAGCCGAGGGAAACUUCGGGUAAUUCCCAGCGAUGUGAUCGGCUCGGCAUCGAGCUAUCACCAAAGAUUUAUCGCCGUGGGACGGGCCUUUGUGGUAUUAGCUUGUUGGCGGGGUGACGGCCCACCAAGGCUGCGAUGCCUACCGGGCGUGCGAGCGUGGCCCGGCACACUGGGACUGAGACACUGCCCAGACUCCUACGGGAGGCUGCAGUCGAGAAUCUUCGGCAAUGGGCGCAAGCCUGACCGAGCGACGCCGCGUGGAGGAUGAAGGCCUUCGGGUUGUAAACUCCUGUCGAGGGGGAGGAAGGCGCAAGCUUGACCGAUCCCUGGAGGAAGCACGGGCUAAGUUCGUGCCAGCAGCCGCGGUAAGACGAACCGUGCGAACGUUAUUCGGAAUCACUGGGCUUAAAGCGCGUGUAGGCGGGCCGCCACGUCGGCUGCUGAAAUCCCCCGGCUCAACCGGGGAACGGGCACCGAUACGAGUGGCCUCGAGGGGGGUAGGGGGACCUGGAACUUCCGGUGGAGCGGUGAAAUGCGUUGAGAUCGGAAGGAACGCCCGUGGCGAAAGCGAGGUCCUGGACCCUUUCUGACGCUGAGAC